rnacentral:lncRNA from 1 species
GCAGCUUUAUGGCAUCUGCUAAGUUGCUGCCUGGAUUUAGGGAAUUACUUUGAAAACUAUCAGGGUUCCUUUUAAA